rnacentral:rRNA from 1 species
AUGCAGGCGCACCCGGACAGGGUCGCCGUCGCCGUCUUCGCCUCCGCCGCCAUGCCGGCCGCCGGGAAGCCCCUCAAGUUCGUCUCCGAACAGUUUGCGCAAGAAAGGGGCCCGGGUUUCUUCAUGGACAGCGUGAUCGAGACCACCGGCGGCGACGACCCGGAGCGCGCUUGCAAGACGUUCCUGCUGGGGCCGGAGUACAUGGCGCAGCGGCUGUAUCAGCUCAGCCCGCCGGAGGACCUGACGCUGGCGACGAUGCUGGUGAGGCCGUCGCGGCAGUUCGUGGACGACGCCGCGAUGAACGGGGAGGGGGUUCUCACGGCGGAGAGGUACGGCGCGGUGAGCCGCGUGUACAUCAUCGCCGAGGAGGACGUCUCGUGGUCGCCGGAGUUCCAGCGGCGGAUGGCGUCGUGGAACCCCGGCACGGAGGUGCGGGGGCUGGCGGGGGCCGAUCACAUGCCCAUGUUCUCCAAGCCCAGGGAGCUCUCGGACCUCCUCGUGGAGAUAGCCGACAAGUACAUCUGA